rnacentral:rRNA from 1 species
CAUGUCUUUUUGAUUAUAAUUUAAAGUCUAACCUGCCCAAUGAUAUUAAUUUAUUAAAUGGCCGCAAUAUUUUGAUUGUGCAAAGGUAGCAUAAUAAUUAGUUUUUUAAUUGAGAACUGGUAUGAAUGGUUGGACGAGAAAAAAACUGUCUCAAUUUAAUUUUAAUUAGAAUUUUAUUUUUAAGUUAAAAAGCUUAAAUGUAUUUAAAAGACGAGAAGACCCUAUAGAGUUUUAUAAAAUUUAGUAUUUUUAAUAAUUUUAGUAUUUUAUCAAUUAAUUAUAUUAUUUUUAUUUGAUUGGGGCGAUUAAAAAAUUUAAAUAACUUUUUUUAAGUAUAAACAUUAAUUUAUGAAUAAUUGAUCCAUAUUUAUUUAUGAUUAAAAGAUUAAAUUACCUUAGGGAUAACAGCGUAAUUUUUUUUGAGAGUUCUUAUCGAAAAAAAAGAUUGCGACC